AAAAAGAGCAGCUUGACCUAAGGAAUGCAGAAUGUGAUGAAGGGGGAACUGAUGAACCAAAACUUAGAUUCUCAAUAGUACUAUUGUAGGAGCUUGUAAAUCUGCAUGCGUGCUAACUACUAAGAUCCUUGAAGUGCAACUGAAGACUGAUAAAAGAGGAACAUCCUACCCCAGAACAUCAUUAGAUGGAAUAGGACUCCGGUUCUAUUUUGUUGGUUUUCGGAAACGGGGCCGUGAUUAAGAGGGACGGCUGGAAGCAUUUGUAUUGUGCCGCUAGAGGUGAAAUUCUUGGACCGGCGCAAGACAGCCUAGAGCGAAAGCAUUUGCUAAGAAUGUUUUCAUUAAUCAAGAACGAAAGUCAGAGGUUCGAAGACGAUCAGAUACCAUCGUAGUUCCAACCAUAAAUGAUGCUGACUGGCGAUCCAGCAGCGUUAAAAAAAAUUUUUUUAAUAAAAUUUUUUUUUUA
rnacentral:ncRNA from 1 species